UCCGAUAUGGUGUAGUGGCCAACAUGAUGCCCUCUCAAGUAUUGAGAGGUUAGGCAUAGCCCCGAGUUCGAUUCUCGGUUUCGGAA
rnacentral:tRNA from 1 species